CCCCCUAUUUUGUCGGGCCAUGAAUUUAACCCCAACUCUCUCAUCCUUAUCUCACCCAAAAGAAGGAAACCACAAACCCCGUGACAAGAAAACCCGAAACCCCAAAUCCUCAACCUCUCUCUCGUCCCCUGCUUCCUGCCUCGCUGGAAUCCGGUUGUUUCAUCGUCGAUGACGCGCGUUGUCUUGGCCUUGCUGCUCGUCGGAGCUGUGCGUGUGGUGCUGCUCGCAAGCCACCGCACCGCUGCUGUUGUUGUUGCCCUUUUCCUCUCUCUCGUGUUGGCGCCGCCGUGGCCUGCCGCUACGUCGUUAGUGCUCCACCGUCGGGUACUGAAGCCUCGAAACCCCAUGUGUUCCUUAUUGUUCGCUGCUCCUAGUAGAGCAGAGAUAUUGGAAAUGAAUCCAGAAGAUGAAGCUGAAGAAGAUGGUGCUGAUAUUGAAUCUUGACUUUUCAUUGUCUAUAAAAUAAGAAGAUACAUUGGCAAUGAAAACUGUUAUGUAGAAAUUGCUCAUAUUUGUCUAGUUGAUGUCAUGUCGGACUGAACAAGUACUCCACUACUAUAUUCCCAUAUCUUUAAGUUGUGUUGAUACUGAAGAAAUUUUGGGCUUAGCUUUCCUUUUUUCUCUAUUAUAUCUAGGAUUAAACUUUGUGGAUUUAAAUUGUUAAAUGUGGUGAUUUGGUAGGUUAUCGGACCUGUGCUUGUUCAUGCUUCACUGCUCUUAAAGGGCUUUCAGGUAUGUUCGUCCAAAUUUCAUUUUGUGAAAAUUAAAAGGAGAAUCCCUUCUGUCUUCGUUUUAUUUCUUUGAGAUUCUUUGUUGGAUUUAGGGUUAGGGUUUAGGGGUCCCAUCUCCAAACUAAUGUAUCUUGAGGUGGUUUCUGGUUUGAACUGCUUAAAUAUUUACACAUGUAGAAGUGUUAGCCGAGAAAAGGAAUAAAGAAUAUCUUCUGUUGCAGUUAAGUCGAUCACUCUUGAUCUUUUGCUUAAACUGCCCCAAUCAAGUUAUUGCUUUCUAUUCCUUUAUUACUAACACUUCUACAUGUGCGUCUGAUAUGCAUGACAUAGUUGGAGUUAACUUUUGAACUAGUAAAAAUUAUAAAUCCGAAAUGAUUGCAAAAGCUAUUGUGUCAAGCUCUACAAAUAAUGCCGCGUAACAAGCUGUUGACCGCAAGAAGAUUGAGGUAUGUCAUAUUUAUGUUGUUCUCCUUAUCAUUUGUAUUGUUUGUCCAAAAUUCAAAUUAUAUGAUAUAGAUGAGAUUGAGUUAUUUGUCUUGUAUCAUUUACCCACCUUGGGGUAAGUAUGGCGGUAAUGCUCCAAUAUUGGUUGCUUUUGUAAAGAAUGUAUGGUGUUGGAUCUGGGAAAUGUAGUACUGAUAUUACAAACAGGUAUUUUCAUUGUGUCCUAUUUUUGGGUUUGUCCAUUUUACAAAGGAGGCUUUGCCGAAAUUUUAGCUGAAAUUUUUACUUACUGUAAAUAAAUUUACGCUUUGAUUUUUUUUUUUUUUUUUUUUUUUUGAGGGGAAUUUACGCUUUGAUUUUUUAUCCUAUGUCUUCGUGUCUUUAGCAUGUCUCAUUCUCGAAUGAAAACUAUAGUUUUACUUUUACUUAACAACAAUGAUUUGUAAUUGCGUUUUUUUUUUCUUGUUUUACAGGUUGGCUUAGAGGUUGGUGCAUAUAAUCAAGUAUUACAAGCUUCUUCGUUAGUCAAUUCGAUUAGAUAGAUAAAUCUUUGUUACAUAUAGGCUUGAUUUCGAAUAUAUUUUUUGGUGGUUCUUUUUUGUUGCGGACAUAAGUUAGAAUCAUUGUUUUUACUAUUAGACGGGUGUUAUUGUCUUAUGGGUGCUAUACGUAAAACAUUUAUAACCUUUAUGGAUGUUAUCUAUUUAUAUAUAAAUUUACUUUCUUUAAA